GACGAACGCUGGCGGCGUGCUUAACACAUGCAAGUCAAGGGGGCCCGCAAGGGCAACCGGCGAACGGGUGCGUAACACGUGAGCAAUCUGCCUAGAUGUGGGGGAUAGCCGGCCCAACGGCCGGGUAAUACCGCAUACGCUCACCGGGUGGCAUCACCUGGUGAGGAAACAUUUUUGGCAUCUAGAGGAGCUCGCGGCCUAUCAGCUAGUUGGUGGGGUAACGGCCUACCAAGGCAUUGACGGGUAGCUGGUCUGAGAGGAUGGCCAGCCACAUUGGGACUGAGAUACGGCCCAGACUCCUACGGGAGGCAGCAGUGGGGAAUAUUGCGCAAUGGCCGAAAGGCUGACGCAGCGACGCCGCGUGGGGGGAUGAAGCAUUUCGGUGUGUAAACCCCUGUUGCUCGGGACGAACAACUGGAUUUUCCAGUCUGACGUACCGGGUGAGGAAGCACCGGCUAACUCCGUGCCAGCAGCCGCGGUAAU
rnacentral:rRNA from 1 species